GUGCAGCAGUCGCGAAACCUCCGCAAUACACGAAAGUGUGACGGGGCCAUCCCGAGUGCCGUCCGCUGAGGACGGCUUUUCCCCAGUGUACACAGCUGGGGGAAUAAGGAGAGGGCAAGCCUGGUGUCAGCCGCCGCGGUAAUACCAGCUCUCCGAGUGGUGGGGACGCUUAUUGGGCCUAAAGCAUCCGUAGCCGGCUGGGCAAGUCCUCCGUUAAAUCCAACGAUUCAAUCGUUGGGCUGCGGGGGAUACUGUCCAGCUUGGGGGCGGGAGAGGCCGACGGUAUUCCCGGGGUAGGGGUGAAAUCCUAUAAUCCCGGGAGGACCACCAGUGGCGAAGGCUGUCGGCUAGAACGCGCCCGACGGUGAGGGAUGAAAGCUGGGGGAGCGAACCGGAUUAGAUACCCCUGUAGU
rnacentral:rRNA from 1 species